CAGUGGCGGCUCUAGACUUGGCGAGGCCUUAGGCGAAACUCAUACAUGAGGCCCCCACUAGCACCAUUAUUGGAAAAAAACAGCAGUUGACUUGUGUGUGUAUAAGUAGUAGAGAUAUUGUGGGGCGGGCUUGCAGUACUGGAUAUAUAGAACUAGUCUUUAUAUACGUCGUUGCAUUGUCUACCUCUGUGUGCCUGAGAGUGUGUGUCUGGCAGUGAGUAUCUUUGUAUAUGUAUGCAUGUUUCUCUGAGCAUGUGUAUGUUUGUGUUACUGCCUGUGGCCUUUGGCUCAUGGCGAAGCUAUGUUUUAGGACAGUGU